rnacentral:lncRNA from 1 species
AAUAAUAUAAGUCGGGGAAAAUAAAACAAGCAGCUGAGUCAGUAAGAGAAAACAUGAGCUGUGUUAAACAGGAACUUUAUUAAGUAGGAGUUGGCAUGAAGAAGGAAGUAUAGGCUUAAAAUUCAGAAAUCCUUAAACGUAAUGGCCAAGCAAAAUUUUUGGGGAACAAGGAAAGGGUUGCUAUAAAUUCAAAACCAAACUAAAAUUUUCUACUCUUUCCUGGCCAAGCUCCACCCGCCACUUUCCCUCUCAAUCCUCAAUCCAUCCGUGCGUAAUUCUAUCCCACUCUGUUCGGCUAAAACGAAAAUAGAAGCUUCAAGAAUUGAUUGGGCAUCUGGAAUAAAGCAUAAAAGAUAGUGAAACCAUAACCAAGCAAGAAAGAUAUAUAUUAGUUUGUAUUAUGCUUUUUUAUGAAAUUCAUGAUAAAUUGAAUCAGUUAGUUAGUAUAUGUAGAUACUUAGUUAAAUAGUUAAUUUGUAUGUGAAUGGGCUACGAAAUCAAUUGGUAACUAAGCUCAAUGAAAUUUAAAAUAUAAGGUAUGUUUUAGAAACUAAAGGAAUGAAAUUUGUUCAAAGUUUCAAAGUUAGUAAACUAAUUUAUGAAAUAGAUAGUAUGUAUAGUUUUCUUUGUGUAAACCAUGGAGUUUAGUAAUUGUUGUGCGGAGUUAUAAUGAUGGCGAAAUGGGAAUGAAACAAAAACAAAACCACAUAAUCUCAGCCCAUUAUAGAGUCGCACACGACAUGUUCGAUUAAAGUCCUAAAAAGGCCAUUUUGCCUAAAAACUCCUAAUUAGGCAGAUCUAAGACUCAAGAUAUAUGCAUAUAUGUUAUAUAUAAAUAAUUAAAGAGUUUGGGUAAAUCGAAUUAGAACGAAAAGCAAUUUUAAGCCAAAACGAAAAUUUUAAAAGUUAGUGUGUCGGACUACUUUUGGCUAAUUGUUUUGGAUAGUUAGAUUUGCUGGACAAUUUUAAGUUUCUGGGGUCUAGUAGUGUGCAAUCCCAGCUAGCCAUAGCCUUUGGAGCUGACUAAUUCUGAGUUUGGACGACUGAGUUAAGACGUGCCAAAGUGGGUGCGUCGAAACUGCCCAAAUCUGGAAAACAGAUUCGAAGCAGCCCCUUACACGAAUUUUCUGGAAUUAUGGGUGCAGAAUUUGGAAAAGGUUAUUGAAUAGGAGUUGUAGUCCCAGAAGUUAGCUUCGCGUGGGCUCAAGAAUCGCUCAAGAAUGUUUUGAAACGAAAAAGUUAUGUCUGUUUGAGCAAGAGAGGGUACAAUUGGAAAAAAAAAUUGAAAAUUGUUUUGACAAGGCAGUUUUAGCCCUCUGUUUAACCUAUCUAGGAUGCCCAAAUUAGAAGAGUUAUAUUUUUCUAAAAUACUAUGAAAUACAAUCUUAAUGCUGCCCAAGUUUGAAGGUUAAUGAAAAUGUAGAUUUAAAGUUCUAAAAUUACAAAGUAACCAUUAUGAUAAGGCGGAGCUGGGGGCAGGGCAGCAGCUGCACCAGGUAGUUGGCCCAGCAGCGUGCAACGCAUGGGCAGACGCCUGGCAACCAGCUGUCGGACAGCGUUUCGCCUUGCGUUUUGAUUUCGAUUGUGGGUGUUGAGCAUUAAAAGAGUUAAGAUAUAUAAUAAUAUAUAAUUAAUUUAUAAUUGGACCAUUAAUUGAACCCAAUAUGGUUGAUAAAUUAGAAUUCAGUUGUUAAUCUUAAUAUGUUCAAGUUAAGUUGAAAUUAUGGAACGUGUUUCAUGUUAAGCAAUAAGCUUUAAUACAUAAAAUAAUAUGCACGACAUUAAUAAUGCAAAAUAGCAACGACAUAAUAAAAUCAAUUCAGAAACGGAUUAAGGAUUAGUUAACUAAUCUAAAACAUGGUAAAAUCUUAAGAACUUAAGAUUAUAAAAGUAUAAAGUUGAAAAGUGUGGGGUUCGAUUAUAAUUAGUUGUACAAACUAAAAGAUUUAUAAGUUAAUAUAGUUAGUCUCAAAUGAAUUGAGGAGGCAUGUUGUAACUUAUGUGUUAUAUUUUGAUUAUACAAGGAAAAGCUAGCCUUGUUUAAUCCAAGGUGUAUUUAUUUCUGCCUAUCUUUGUAUUCAACGAGGUACCAAUAAAAAAAAUCACAUUUAAGCAUGGAUGAGGUAUUUAAAAAAUAAGUGGGUUGGUUUAUUAACCUAGUAAAAGCUAAUAAGAUUUAUACCACAUACAUAUGUAGCAAACUUAUUAAAAUAAGAGAAUUUAAGAAUGAGAUAUUAGACUUGCAAAACACAAAUUUAAAUAGAAUUUGUAGAAUAUGGUAAUGUUAUACAUUGUAAUAACAUUAUGUGUAUAUUGGUGCUAUACAGGAGCAUAAUACCUCGAAUACGUGUAAUCGCGUAAAAUUAAUAGCUUCGCAUCAAAGAGGCAAGUUUUCCAGUUCCUAUUUGUUAUAUGAAUUUGACAUGAUUACAUGGAUUACAUGUUAUACUUGUGGAAUGAUGAAAGUCAACUAUUGACUAAAUUUGAUUGCGUUUUUAAAACUCAGUCUUGAUUUGAUAUUUGAUAUGUGUGAGAUACAAAUGUUACUUAAAUUGUACUCCCUCCAUCCCAAAUUAAUUGCUCAUUUUUGACUUUUUUAAGUCAAAUUGAUUAUUUUUAGAUUUAAUAAUUAAGCAUAUAUAAAUAUAUUUCUAAAAUUAUAAAAAUUGGGGUUAGUAAUAAAUUGUAUAUACUUUCUUUUGGUUAUAAUUUCUUAACCUAUAUUUUAGAAAAAAAUAGUAAAAAGAUUAGUUUUAAAAAUGGUCAAUUUGACUUUAAAAAGUCAAAACUGAGCAAUUAAUUUGGGACGGAGGGAGUAAUAAUCUUGAGAUAUGAUAUAAACAUGAUAUUAUGUGCUAUGUGAAGCAUGAAAACUGUUAGACUUGCUGGGCCGUAGUGCUCAAUCUUGCAAACCAUUUUGCAGAUAAAUGUUGAUUUAUCAGAUGGUCAUAACAACGAAGAUUUGUGAUGAGACAUGAGUAUUAAAGAUGUAUUGCUUGUAAAACCCUGACUUUUAUAAAAUAAAAGUCUAAUUUAAUUUUAUGAUUAUUAUUUUUAAAAUUUAAAAAUGUUGAAUUGAUAAAUGGUCAAAUGAACAAUUAAUUGGCUAAAAGAGCAAAUAAAGGAGGGAGAUUAAAGUUUGCUGAUACAAAUUUUCCUUAUGCUGCUAAAAUUUUCAUAAAGCAUUCACCAAACUUUUUCAUGAUUGGUGGGUUAUCAAAUAUUAGGCAAGAGUGGGGCAAGGAUGAUGGCUAACUUAUUAGCCUACUAAGGCAAAUUUUCAACACACUUGCACUUCUGCCGUAGACAAAAUGUGUAGGAAAGAAGAAAAGAGAAAAGGAGAGGAAGAAAAAGAGGGAGAGAGAAAAGAAAGAAAGAAAGAAAACAAAAUAAAAGGAAGAAAAAGAGAGAGGGAGUACUCCACCCAUUUAUUCCAUUCACUCAUUCUCUCGGUGGAGGAAACCAGAAGAAAGAAGAGUAGAGAAAAAGAAAAAGAGGAGGAGAAGAAAAGAAGAAAGAGAAGGAAUAAAUGAAGAAGAAAUUAAAAGAAAAAUGAAUGUUUAAACCUUUGAUUUAUUUUUCUAUUUAAGUUUUCAUGAAUUUUAUAUGAAGAGAUUGUGUUCAUACUUGAUUUAGAUGAUUUAAACUUGUAUAAACAAGGAUCAAAUGAGAAAAAUCUAGAAAUCAAAUGAAAAACAAAAUUUUAAAAUUUUCAUAAAAAUUAGUUUACUACUUGAUUUUGUAAAAUCCAUAACUCUUUGUGUAUAAUGAGUUAAGAGAUGAGCCAUAUAUCAAAAGAAAGGUCUGGAAGUAAGCUAAGAGUAGAAAUUUAAAUCACCCAAAAAUUCUUUAUAGAUUUUUCGUGGUGACAGUUUGAGUGAAAUUGGUCCGAAGGACUUAUAGUCCGAAAAAUCAGUUUUAUUAAGCUAUAUUGCGUGAGUUAUAAUUUUUAAUCCGACCGUUGGAUCGUUGUGAUUUUCGAAUAUAUUAUGCAUAUAUGAGUUGAGUAUAUGUCCAAAAGUUUUGAACUGUUAAAGAUUAAAAUAUAAUCUGUUGUGAAUUUCUUAAGGUGGCUGGUUCGAAAAUUAUUAAAUAGAAUAUUUCGGUAAGCCUUUCUCUCUAUGUUACAGUCAAUUUAGGAAAACUUUCUUCUACAAAGUUAUAGAUAAUUAAAUUUUACAUGGAAGGACAUAAGAUCUGUAUUUUUCUGAUAAAAGUGCUAAUUAUUGUGAAUUAUUAAAAUUUCUGAAUAUUGGAAUUUAUAAUUAAUUUAUCAGAAAAAUUAUUUGGGUUGAAAUAUUUUUACAGAAUGCUUAUAAAAUCAUCUUAGAAUUUCUGUGAAAUUUUGAUGAAUUAUUGAAAAGCAGAAGUAAUUAUUGUAUUUUUAAACUAUUUAUAGUUAAUUUGAAAAUAGAAGAAAUUCAUAGAAAAUUCUAUGAAUGAUGAAAAAUUAUGAAACUUGGUGAAAAAUGGUAUAAUAUUGAUUUAUAAUUUCUGGACAAUUUUGGAAAUUUUUGAAUAACAGAAGUAUUUAUUAUAUUUUUAAAACUAUUUAUGGUUAGUUUAAAAAUAGAGGAAAUUCAUAGGAAAUUCUAUGAAUGGUGAAAAAUUAUGAAUUUUGCUGAAAAAUAUUAUAAUAAUAUAAGAUUAAUAUUGAUGAUGUUUUAAUGAUAUAAAAGUAUGUGGGGUUAGUAUUUCUAUUUUGAAGCUAUUAAAUGAUAGUUUUUAUAAAUAGAAAUAAUUUUUGAAAAUUGUUAGAUAAUCUAAAAAAUAUGAAAAUUAUUUGGAAAAUUCAUAAUCAUAUUUUUAAAUAUUUUAAAAGUGUUAGUAAGCUCAUGAGGUGUCGGGAUGUAAACGCACUAGUAACGAAUGAGUUAAGAUAAAAACAAAAAUAAUAUUUUUGUUAAAGUAAAAAUGGUGAUAAUAUCAGAAUAAUGGAUUGUUAUAUAUGAGGUUUUAUAUUUCUCAAGUUUUAUUAUUCACUUAUAAAGUUUUGAAAUAUGAAUAAUGAUUUUAUGCGAUAAAUAAAGACAAUUUGAAUGAAUAAUGAAUUGAUAGUUGGUUUAUAUGUUAUUCGAGAUAAAUAUGAUUUGAUGUUGAUCCCUAUUUAUAAUAGAAUUUAAAUUGUUUAUAGCAAGGUAUUGAUUUAAUUCUUACGUAAGAAGUCACUCAGUCUUUCAUUCAUUAAUUGCCACAAUAGUUAUUGCGCAGUGACUCAUAUUAUUUGAUAUGAUAUAAUUAAACCAGUUGACAGUAUUGUGAGUCUUUGUUAAUAAUUGUGAAUAAUUGUUGAAAGAUUGAAAAUGUGUAAAUAAUUGCUGAAUAAAGGGUGUUGAUUAAAGAUAAAUAUGAUAUAGAGAUGUUUGUUCAAUUAUUUUCUUUUUAUAAAAGUAGGUUUGGCAUGACUUUUCGACAGUCUACUUUUUCUAAAGUAGUAUGGACCAUAACUCAAUUAUUUUUAAAAUGUGUACAAGUUGGUUUAAUUUUCUCUGUGGGACCAUAAAUUCCACCACUACCAUUAUUAUAUACCUCGUUUGGUUAUUUUGUCAAAACGGGUGUGCUAGUUGUUUACUAAAUUUUCAGUAAAAAUAGGUUGUUCGGUUGAGUAACUAAACACACACCAUCACUACACUAAAAAUAUAAAAAACUUUUACUACAAUAUUGUGAGUAUAAUAUUGUGAGUAUUUCUAUUGAGUGUAAUGUUACUCCAAGUGUAGAUAAGGAAUGCAAGCAUUGUUUAAGUUGAUCAAUUUCACAGAAAGCAAAAUCAAGUCACAUGCUAAGAUAAGGGAUAUCAUUAUUGUGGUAAGGAGGUAUCAUUUUUAUGGUAAAAAGGAAUAUCAUUUUCUUUCAUACUCCAUAUUAUGGUAAGAUAUUGUUAUUCGUUUAUUCAGUUUAUCAUUAAAUGAUGAAAAGUCCUGAAAGGAUUAGAAUAUCCUAAAUAGUUUGUGCUUCAUCUAUUAUUGUGUUAUUAAUUUGGACUCUGGAUAAUUAAUUUGAAAAUCACUAAGAUAUAUGUUAUCUUAUUAUUCUGAUGAUUUAUGUUUAUUCAUUAUAUAUAUCAUUGUCAUCAUUCUCAUACUUAUAUUGUGUUGAAAGUCAUCUAUAGCCCGUAGUGCAUAGAUAGACUUGGUAUGAUUAUGACGAGGGAUUAUUCGGUAUAAUCAUGAUCGUAAUGUUAUAAAUGAUGUGGUAAAAGUCAUCUUUGGCCCGUAGUUCAUAGAUGAGUUGGUAUGAUUAUGACCAGGGAUUAUUUGGUAUAACCAUGACCGUAAUUGAAAACACAAAUAUUCUUGGCCCGUAGUGCAUGGAUAAUUCGUGGUCGUGAUACUUGAGCCGAGUCUCAGCAUUAUUAGUUUUACAGUUGUAUAUCUUUGGUCUGUAGUGCAAAGAUGGACUGUUGGUUAUUUGUUUUACAAUUGUAUAUCUUUGGCCUGUAGUGCAAAGUUGGACUGUUGAUUUACUUGAUUAUAAAUAUGAAUUGUGAUUUAAUUAUAAUCUGUGGUGGUUCAGGUGAAAACAGGUGAUGAGAGUUCUCUUUGUCUUGGGUAUAACAAAGAAUUGUUGAUGAGUAUUACAGGAAUGAAAUAUUAACGAUGGACUUUUAAUCUAGAGGAGAUAGUAGACAUUAUGUUCUACUUGACUCUUCUAAUGGAUUGUUGAUUCCGCUGCUAUUAUGGUUGAAAACUUUUAUCUUCUACCAUAUGUUCUAAAUAUCUGAAUUUGAUAAUUUAAUUAUCUUAAGUCAUGAUAUUCUUUACUGGGCUAUUUGUGCUCACCCUUUUACUUCACCACCCCUUUCAGGAAAUAAAAGUGUAGCUGGGACUAGCAGAGAGGACGUGGGUAUAAAGUGGUGUUUUAAAUUAGUCGAAAUUCUAAUCAAAUUAUGAAACGGUGGGACAUAAUAAUUGUACUGAGAAUUUAAAAUAUGCGUGACAUAUUUUAUACAUCAUUUAAUAGUUAUAUUUGGUGAAUUAAAUAAGGUGAUGCGAACUCGAUUUUGGAAGCGACAAAAAUGCACUCCAUUAGAAUGAGAAGGACAGAAAUCUUCUCGUAUUCCUUUGGAGACUUGAAAUAUUUGCUGCUGUACUUUAUAUAGCAUUGUAAUAAUUUGAGUAUGAAUAUUGUCAUAUUAUAUACGCUACAAUAUUUGUAUUGAAACUCACAAUAUAUGUGUCAUCGUAUUUUGCACGAUAGUUAUAAAUGGAGUUUUUUUAGUGUAUGUAAUUGGCGACUCGGGAUGGGUGAUGUAUACCUGUUUUGGGGGCGUCACAUUGCUUCAUCAAGUUUAGACUGUACCAAGCUGAGGCUACUUGCUGUAAAGUGAUUUAAUUGAGUAGUGUAAAUGUUGUUAUACCCAGUAAUUAUACUGAAUAGAAAUAAUCUUUUUGAAUAUGAGAUGUAGCUUUACUAUUAUUUUGUAAAGUAAGUUACUAUAAUAGCAUAGAAGUGCAUGAAGUGGGGUAUAGCGAAUAUACAAUUGACGAAUUAUGUUUUAAAGAUUCCGGGAUGAGUAAAGUUAAAAGUUUGAACCUUAUGUUCAAAUUAGACUUUUCAGAAUGGGUCUUUAUAUUUAUAUAAUCCUGAAUAUGAGUAUAGAUUAUAACAUCUGCGAAUUCUGGAACUAAUAAAAUUUUAAUAACUAAAUUUUGAUAUCUAUAUUGAUAUUGAUUGUGAUAUACAAGUUGAAUCAUGAUAUAGAUUCAAGAUAUGAUAGAGUUGCAAAAAUAUAAUUUUUGCAUGUUUGAAAUGUGAUAUGAUCUCUAGCUGACCAGAUGAUAACGAUUGGAAGACGUGCAAAGGAUAUCUCUUCUUUAUUUAGAAAUUGUAGAGAAAUAUAGAUGAGGAUUCUCAUGAUUCUAGAUAUGACUAAAAGACAACUAUGUACAGUUUGAAAUGUUUAUUGAAUAAGGAAUAUUUGUUUGAAGAGAGGUGAGUUGUAUAUAUUCAUAUGUUACUUUGAUAAAAUAAAUCAUAAAAUAAAUAUGAUUCUAGUAUAAAGAAGAAUUGUAAAGGUUUCGAUUCAGGGAAUGAAUGAAUGAAAAGAAAAAAAAAAUUUAUUCCAUAUUUUUAGCUAUUUUAACAUUAAAUAAUAUUUUAAAGCUAGAACAAGAUAAUAUUAACACACAAGAUCGGGAAGAAAAAUAGUCCCGAUUUUGGGGGCGUUACAAAUGUGCUUGCUUCUUUCAUGGAACACCGGGUUUUUCGCCAAAGCAAUGGCUGCCUUUGUAAGACCCCAGCUUUUUAUAAAUAAUAUUGAAUUUUUCUCCAAUUAUUAUUUUGAAAUAAUAAGGUGUUAAUUUGAUAUAAUACUUUGGUUAUGGGUGAAAUGUGCAAAUUUUAUAAAAUAAGCAAAUGGUUAUAAAAUAUUCCUUUUGUCGGGGAAUAUUCGUUUCGUCGUGGAAUAUUCUUUUUGUCGGGAAUCUUCAUACGACAGCGCAGUUAUUUGUGGGCCCCAUAACGGAAAACGGUUGGAUGAAGGAAAACGACAAAGUAUGAGUUUUUUUAUAAUUAACGGCGUAAUGGUUACCGUUAACACUGUUGGAUUACCUGGUGGUUAAAAUAUAAUAAUACGCGUGGUUGCACAGUAGCACACAGUAUUGCAUAGUAUUGUUGAAUUAUUGAUUCUUACGUAAGAAGGCACUACUCAAUAAUUGUUACAGUAGUUACUGUUCAAUAUUUUAUUUUAUUGAUUCAAUAAUUGCUGCGUUGAUAGUUUAUAUUAUUGUUGUUUCAAUAAUUGUCAUUGCACAGUAUUUCCCAUUAUCAGAUCAAUAAUUCAUAUUAUUUGAAUAAUAUUAUUAGAUAGUAUUAUUGACAAUGUCUAGAAAGUUCUGUCAAGGAGAGGUUUGGUCAUCUAAUUGCGCACCAGUAAGGAGAAAUCCUUAUCGGAAAUCCCCCUCUUUCCUAGGAACGGCCUGGUUGUCAUAAUUGUGAUUCUGUAAUAUUAUUUGGGAAUAAUUAAUUAAUGAUUUAUAUGAUAAGAAAAUAUUUAUUUGAUGUGGAUAUUAAUGAUGGAUUUAUUUAUGUGGUUAUAAAUGAAGGAAUUAAUGUUGAGGUAUUUUAUCAGUAUUUUGUCGGAUUGGAGGUAUUAAAAAUCAUCCGUUUGUGGAUUUCGGAUAUUUUCUGUUUGAAAUUUGGAAAAACUUUCUUCUGUAAAGUUGUAGAGAAUUCGAUUUCGUGUGGAAUGGACAUAAAAUUCGUAUUUUUCUGAUAAACGGGCUAUUUUCUAUGAAUUAUUAAAAUUUCUGAUUAUUGUUUAAAUGAUAAAAUAUUUUAGAAAAUUCUAGAAUUGGUUGGUGAGAAAUGUGCUCAAUUGAAUUUCAAAUGUGGUGGGUGGCAAUAGUAACAGGUAAAACCAUCAGGUAGCAGGUCAAGUCUGCUUCGGCGUGCUAACAUUUUCCUAUAAAUAGAGGGCUAAGUUAGAAUUGAAAAUCACACCAGAAACAUAAGCUUUCUCUCUUUCUUUCUCUAUAUUAUCAAGCGUAUUUCGUGAGUAUUUUGAUACUUUAAGUGUUGAUAUACGGUGCAAGUUCCAUCAACACUAUAUCCAGUAUUCCAGUCAGAAGUACUAUCUUUUUGAGGUAAGGGAUAUUAUUUUCUUCAUAUAUGAUAUUAUUUCUUUUAAUAUCAUUAUGCCGAAGUAUUGAUCUAAACUUUUUAAUCAAAUUUGGAACUUUUUGUGUCGGGGUUACUAUUCACGUAUACGGCACUAUUCACAAAUACGGCACUAUUCAUCGAAAAAUGAAAUUUUCUCUUUUUCGUCUCAGAUGUCUUUUAUGGUUACUAUCUUUGAUUGUAUCAUGUUUUGAUCAUUAUUUUUGAAUUCUACUUCACACUUGGUUAUUAUGGAGUAUUAUUGAAUUUGGAUAAACCGAAAUACGAAUCCCUAAUAUUUGUCCUUCUGUCUCACUAGAUUCGUUCUCUAAAAUAUUUUUCAUCAUCCUCAGUCCUUAAUGGUGAUACUUGAUGAAUAUCUUUGGCCUGUAGUGCAAAGAUGAAUGAUUACCUGAUGAAUAUCUUUGGCCCGUAGUACAAAGAUGAACAGGUGUUGAGAUGAACAUGACCAACUAGUGAUACAAAUGAAUAUCUUUUUCCUGUAGUGCAAAGAUGUAUAUUGAUUGAUGUUACAGGGAUAAAAUAUUGAUGAUGGACUUUUAAAUUCAUAAAUGAUAGUAGAUUUCAUUUUCUACUUAACUCUUCUAAUGAAUUGUUGUUUUCGCUGCAGUUGUUGAUCUAAAACUUGUUGUCUAUUGUAUUCUAUUAGAUUUUUUCCCUGUUGAGGACUAAUGAUAAUUUUUUGUGUAUUAUCUUAGUCAUAAUAUUCUUUACUGGGCUAGUUGAGCUCAUUUCUUUUUUGUUCCAUUUUUCAUCUCAGGAGGUGAAAACAUAGCAGGAUCUAAUCGGGGUACGGAGUGAUGGUUCUAGAAAGUUGUUGUAGCAGUCCUCACUAUUUUUAUAAAAUAGUGUUUGAAUAAUUAUAAUGAGGACUCAUUUGGGUGUGGAUAUUGUCUAGAUGAAAAUAUUUGUAUUUAAACUCACAGUAUGUGUUGUCGUAUUUUGUUCGACAAUUGUAUUAUUGAAGUUGUAGUUUGCUUUAUGUACCAUGUAUUUGGCGACUCAGAAUGGAUAUGGUGUAUACCUAUUUUGGGGGGGGGGGUCAUAGUUGGUAUCAAAGCUUAGGGAUAUGGUCUCUGGCGGAGAUCAGGGAAUAGAACUAGGAGGGGAGAGAUGAGUAAAUCCUUCGCUAGUGUGUCCUAUCUAAGCUUAUUUGUUGGUCGGUCAUAAUAUAGGGAUAUUAUGUGAUAUGUUAAUUUGUUUAAUUAACCCUUGUUUUAUGAUAGUUUUUAAGCAUGGCAGCUGAGAACGUUAACAAUGGAGUGUAUGAGACUAUGGAAACACCUUUAGUCACCAACCAGGAUAAUGUGAUGUCAGGCGAAGAAGGAAUUAGAGAUAUCCAUGUGGUGAGUGAAGAAUUGAUAGUUGCAUCCGAGAUAGUGGCAGAAGUAACAGCUGAGAGUGAGGAAGAAGAGGAACCUGAGGAGAAUUUAUUAGAGGUAUUUUAUGAUCGAAAUUUAGAAUUGCAAAAUCAUAUUCAUGAGUUAGAAAAGCAGGCUGAAGAACGGCAGACGGUCGUGGAGCAAAAGGAUGCAACGAUUCAAGCUUGUGUUAACCGAUAUGUGAUGCUUGAAUAGAAGCACUCUUUGGCAAAGUAUAAGAUGAUAAAGCUAGAAUCUGAGCUGAAAGAAGAACCAAUUGAACGAGUGAGAAUGAGUGAUGCAUGGGUAAAAGUCGACGCUUUGAUAUUGUGGAAAGAGAUGUCUGAUCUAAGAAGAGAAGAUUUAACGAUGACGGGAAGACGUUGGCAGCAGCACCAACACCAGCAACAAAUUCCAAGGGAGGAGAACGCCCGCCAGUUAAGUGCUACAAAUGCGGAGAGGAGGGACACAUAAGUCCAAACUGUUCACAGCCUUCCAAGGUGUGUUUCAAUUGUGGAAAAGACGGUCACAUAGCUCGAUUUUGUCCUGUAGCGAAAUCAAGUCCAACUGGAAUGGUGGCACCAAAGGCGGAUACGGACAAAACAAAGUCGACGGUUUCUGGAAGAGCAUUUUUUGUGACUUCUCAAAAAGCGAGGAACCCGAACGAAGGUAUCACGGGUUAGUUAAUUAUAAAUUCUUGCAAAAUCUAUACCUUACUAGAUACCGGUUCUACCCAUUCUUUUAUCUCUCCUGCUUGCGCUCAACAUUUAAACUUGACUCCGGAGAAUUAGACUUUGAUUUAUCUGUGGAGACUCCGUUAGGAGAAACUUUCGUUACAUCCACUAUUUAUAAAUCUUGCUUAAUCCAAGUUGGCACUAUCACAUUACCUGUUGAUCUUAUCUCUUUAAAGAUACUUGCUUUUGAUGUGAUUUUAGGAAUUGAUUGGUUAACCACUCAUCAUGCNNNNNNNNNNNNNNNNNNNNNNNNNNNNNNNNNNNNNNNNNNNNNNNNNNNNNNNNNNNNNNNNNNNNNNNNNNNNNNNNNNNNNNNNNNNNNNNNNNNNUCAAGCCAUAAAGCCAUUCAUUUAUUGAAAAACGAAUGUCAAGCUUUCUUAGCCCAUUUCAUGGAUUUAAACAAAAAUACGUCAAAUUUGAAUGAUAUUUCUGUUAUUAGUGAAUUUCUGGCGUAUUUCCUGAAGAAUUUCCUGGCAUACCCCCAGAGCGUGAUAUUGAAUUUUGUAUCGACUUUGAACCCGGUACAAAACCCAUUUCUAAAUUCUCAUAUCGAAUGGCUCCUAUUGAACUUCAGGAGUUAAAAACCCAACUAUAGGAGUUGGUACUCAGGCCUCUAUCUAGUAACUUCCUUUGUGGAAUGCACCAAAGCCAGACUCUCCGUAGGGGACGCUAUAUUUGUGUGGUGGUAAAACGAUAGGUGCCAUUGUGACGUGCAAUCCAAGAUUGGGAUAUGAAUCAUAUAUGAGAGCAACUUAAGUCAUUAAUCGAAAUAUCUAGCUUUCUAGACGUAGCUGGUUACUAUUAGAGAUUCGUGGAAGGAUUUUCUCGAAAUGCUACUGCAUUAACUCAGCUGACUCGGAAAGAUACAAAAUUUGUAUGGAGCGAGGAAUGCGAGAAGAUUUUCCAAGAGCUCAAGAAGCGACUCAUUUCGGCACUUGUUUUGACCAUACCAUCUUGGAAAAACGAACGUGGUAGCUGACGCGUUGAGUAGAAGAUCGUACGCAAGUACGAGUGCGAUAUUGUUGAACACAAAGACCUAUUUUGUAUAAUUUAUAAAUGAUAGAGAUAGAGUUAAAGACUCUAGGAACCACGUGAUGAUAUACGAGUACAAUUGACUUUAAUCGAUAACGUUAAAGCCGCUCAAGCUACACACCGGAGUUGAUGAAUAUAAAGAAGAAGGUGCAAGAAGGCGUUAUUCUAGAAGUAAGAGUCGAUGAAGAGAAGAAAGCUCAAACCUUCGAUUUAUUUGAAAUCCUCGAUCAAGUAGGAACUGUGGCCUAUAGACUCGCCUUAACGCUAAGUAUAUCGCGUGUUCAUAAAGUUUUUUUUACAUAUCGAUGUUACGUAAGUAUGUGGACGACCCAAACCACAUUAUUGCGUUAGAACUAGACGAGAUAGCCGAAGAUUUAACGUACAAGGAGGUACCUGUCAAGAUAUUGGAUAGCAAGAGCAUGCCCUACGCACAAAGGUUAUACCACAAGUUAAGGUUUUGUGGAGGAACCAUGCUAUUGAAGAAAUGACCUGGGUGUUGGAAUCAGAAAUAAAAGCGAGGUAUCCUCACCUUUUUGAUACACCAGGUACGUACGUCAAUUUCGAGGAUGAAAUUUCAUAAGGAGGGGAGGUUGUAAGACCCCAGCUUUUUAUAAAUAAUAUUGAAUUUUCCUCCAAUUAUUAUUUUGAAAUAAUAAGGUGUUAAUUUGAUAUAAUACUUUGGUUAUGGGUGAAAUGUGCAAAUUUUACAAAAUAAGCAAGUGGUUAUAAAAUAUUCCUUUUGUCGGGGAAUAUUCGUUUGGUCGUGGAAUAUUCUUUUUGUCGGGAAUCUCCGUACGACGGCGCAGUUAUUUGUGGGCCCUAUAACAAAAAACGGUUAGAUGAUGGAAAACGACAAAGUAUGAGUUUUUUUUAUAAUUAAUGGCGUAAUGGUUACCGUUAACACUGUUGGAUUACCUGGUGGUUAAAAUAUAAUAAUACGCGUGGUUGCACAGUAGCACACAGUAUUGCACAGUAUUGUUGAAUUAUUGAUUCUUACUUAAGAAGACAAUACUCAAUAAUUGUUACAGUAGUUACUGUUCAAUAUUUUAUUUUAUUGAUUCACUAAUUGCUGUGUUGAUAGUUUAUAUUAUUGUUGUUUCAAUAAUUGUCAUUGCACAGUAUUUCCCAUUAUCAGAUCAAUAAUUCAUAUUAUUUGAAUAAUAUUAUUAGAUAGCAUUAUUGGCAAUGUCUAGAAAGUUCUGUCAAGGAAGGUUUGGUCAUCUAAUUACGCGCCAGUAAGGAGAAAUCCUUAUCGGAAAUCCCCCUCUUUCCUGGGAACGGCCUGGUUGUCAUAAUUGUGAUUCUGUAAUAUUAUUUGGAAAUAAUUAAUUAUUGAUUUAUAUGAUAAAAAAAAUAUUUAUUUGAUGUGGAUAUUAAUGAUGGAUUUAUUUAUGUGGUUAUAAAUGAAGGAAUUAAUGUUGAGGUAUUUUAUCAGUAUUUUGUCGGAUUGGAGGUAUUAAAAAUCAUCCGUUUGUGGAUUUCGGAUAUUUUCUGUUUAGAAUUUGAAAAAACUUUCUUCUGCAAAGUUGUAGAGAAUUCGAUUUCGUGUGGAAUGGACAUAAAAUUCGUAUUUUUCUGAUAAACGGGCUAUUUUCUAUGAAUUAUUAAAAUUUCUGAUUAUUAUUUAAAUGAUAAAACANNNNNNNNNNNNNNNNNNNNNNNNNNNNNNNNNNNNNNNNNNNNNNNNNNNNNNNNNNNNNNNNNNNNNNNNNNNNNNNNNNNNNNNNNNNNNNNNNNNNAUUUUGAUUCGGGAUUACUAUUCACGUAUACGACACUAUUCACAAAUACGACACUAUUCAUCAAAAAUUAAAUUUUCUCUUUUUCGUCCCAGAUGUCUUUUAUGGUUACUAUCUUUGAUUGUAUCCAUGUUUUGAUCUUUAUUUUUGAAUUCUACUUCAUACUUGGUUAUUAUGGAGUAUUAUUGAAUUUGGAUAAACCGAAAUACGAAUCCCUAAUAUUUGUCCUUCUGUCUCACUUGAUUCGUUCUCUAAAAUGUUUUUCAUCAUCCUUAGUCCUUAAUGGUGAUACUUGAUGAAUAUCUUUGGCCUGUAGUGCAAAGAUGAAUGAUUACCUGAUGAAUAUCUUUGGUCCGUAGUGCAAAGAUGAACAGGUGUUGAGAUGAACAUGACCAACUAGUGAUACAAAUGAAUAUCUUUUUCCUGUAGUGCAAAGAUGUAUAUUGAUUGAUGUUACAGGGAUAAAAUAUUGAUGAUGGACUUUUAAAUUCAUAAAUGAUAGUAGAUUUCAUUCUCUACUUAACUCUUAUAAUGAAUUAUUGUUUCCGCUGCAGUUGUUGAUCUGAAACUUGUUGUCUAUUGUAUUCUAUUAGAUUUUUUCCAUGUUGAGGACUAAUGAUAAUUUGUUGUAUAUUAUCUUAGUCAUAAUAUUCUUUACUGGGCUAAUUAAGCUCACCCUUUUCCUUUUUGUUCCAUUUUUCUUCUCAAGAGGUGAGAACAUAGCAGGAUCUAGUCGGGGUACGGAGUGAUGGUUCUAGAAAGUUGUUGUAGCAGUCCUCACUAUUUUUAUAAAAUAGUGUUUGAAUAAUUGUAAUGAGGACUCAUUUGGGUGUGGAUAUUGUCUAGAUGACAAUAUUUGUAUUUAAGCUCACAGUACGUGUUGUUGUAUUUUGCACGACAAUUGUAUUAUUGAAGUUGUAGUUUGCUUUUUGUACCAUGUAUUUUGCGACUCAGAAUGGGUGUGGUGUAUACCUAUUUUGGGGGCAUCACAGCCUUGUUAUCCACAAAAAUUUCCAAAGCGUCCUUUUGUAGUAUUUGCAACUCUCCCAAUAAUCUUCUUAACCAAAUUGCAUGACAAACACAAGAUGCUGCAGCUACAUACUCUACUUCGCAUGUAGAAAGUGUCACAAUUGGUUGUUUUUUCGAACUCCACGUAAAAGCUGUAUUCCCCAUGAAAAAAAAAACCAGUAGUGCUCUUUCUGUCAUUCAUAUCUCCGACCCAAUCACUAUCACUAUAUCCCACAAGCUUAAAUUCAUUAGAAAAUGAAUAAAGCAAACCAUAAUCAAUUGUACCUUUGAUGUACGGAAGAAUCCGUUUCGCUGCUUUGAAACGUGUCGCGGUCGGUGUCUCCAUAAACUGACUUACAAGCCCAACUCCAAAAAGUAUAUCUAGUUGUGUGCAAGUCAAGUAUCUUAAACUUCCAACUAAACUUUUGAAAGUUGUGGAGUCUACUUGCUCACCUUCUUCUUUUUUGGAUAAUUUCAGUACAUAUUUAACCGGAGUGCUCGCGGAUUGACAAUCCUCCAUUUUAAACUUCUUUAGAAUCUCCUUAACAAAUCUUUCUUGGGAAAUAAAAUUUUUAUCAUCCGUUUGUUUGAUCUCAAUACCAAGAUAAUAAGACAUGAGACCAAGGUCGGUCAUCUCAAAAUCCUUCGCCAUUGUUUGCUUAAACUCUCCAAACAUACUAGGAUUAUUGCCCGUGAAGAUUAAAUCAUCAACAUAUAAGCAAACAAGUAAAAUAUCUCCAUUUUCACACACCUUAGCAUAGAGAGCAUACUCAUGUGGGCACUUGAUAAAUCCAUUCUCUUAGAAAUAUUUGUCAAUCCGGCUAUUCCAUGCUCGUGGUGCUUGCUUCAAGCCAUAUAAAGCUUUCUUCAACUUUAACACUUUGUCUUCAUGACCUUUGAUCACAUAUCCUAAAGGUUGUUCAAUAUAAACCUCUUCUUCAAGAAUCCCAUUCAAGAAAGCCAACUUCACAUCCAUUUGAUAAAUCUUCCACCUUUUUUGAGCCGCGAAUGAUCAUACGGAUGGUCUCUAACCGUGCAAAGGGUGCAAAUACUUCACCAUAGUCGAUUUCGGGAUGUUGGCUAUACCCCUUGGCUACCAACUUUGCCUUGUAUUUCUCCACUUCUCCUUGAAAACCCACUUCACACCAAUGGGCUUUUCACCUUCCAGCAUAGUUUUCGACUCCCAAGUGUCAUUCUUCUCAAUCGAUUUGAUCUCUUCAUCCAUGGUAAUUCUCCACUUCACAUCCUUUACCGCUUCUUUAAAUACUAUGGGUUCACCAUUGACAAAGUGACAAUAAAGAGUUAGAUCAUCACUUAAAUUUUUUGUGACUUCAUAAAGUUCCUGGAGACUUCUCAUUCGUGGUUGCCUUUUACUUGAACUUUCACUUGAUGAAGAUGAUGCACUUGAAGAAAAUAUAGAAGGUGUACUUGGAUUGGUAGGUGAUCGAGGAGGUGUUGUGGGCUCUUGAUGAACUUCUUCUUUUUUCUCUUCCUCAUCAAGUAAUGGAAAGAAAUCAUACAUUUCCUUGUCUUCAAUGCUCCAAUCCCAUGCAUCUUCUUCAUCAAAUUCCACAUCUCUACUAAUAAUGAUCUUGCCAACACUUGGAUUGUAGAAUUUGUAGCCUUUGGAACAUUGAUCAUACCCAAUGAAGAUGUGUUUCCUACUUUUGUCUUCAAGCUUCGACCUCUCUUGAUCGGGUAUAUGCACAUAACCAAUGCUCCCAAAUACUCUCAAAUGGGAUGCACUUGGCUUUUUUCCACUCCAUGCUUCUUGAGGAUUUUUGUCCAAUAGACUUCUUGUUGGACAAAUAUACCGCACAAUCAACCGCUUCUGUCCAGAAUUCUUUUGGCAUCUUCUUUGUCAUUAACAUGCUUCUAGCCAUAUUGAGAAUGCUUCGAUUCUUUCCUUCCACUAUGCCAUUUUGUUGAGGAGAUUUCGGAACUGUUAAAAAUCGUUUGAUGCCAUUUUCUUCACAAAAUUUAUUGAACUCAUUAUAAGUAAACUCACCACCUCUAUCCAUUCUCAAGGACUUAAUAUAAUAACCACUUUAUUUUUCUACAAGAAUUUUGAAUUUCUUGAACAUGCCAAAUGCUUCAGAUUUUUCUUUCAAGAAACAAACCCAAGUCUUUCUACUAAAAUCAUCAAUGAAGAGUAAAAAAUCGAAUGAAGAUGUCUUGAUUGGUCCACAAACAUCGGCAUGAACAAGUUGAAGUGGCUCAAUUGCUCUUGAAGUAGUUUCUCUUGGAAAACUCUUUCGGAAUUGCUUACCAAUAAGACACCCUUCACAAAGUUGAUUUGGUUGGUCUAUAAAUGGUAAUCCAUUCAACAUCCCUUUUUGAGCCAAUAACUUCAAGCCUCCAAAGUUCACAUGUCCAAGCCUUAAAUGCCAAAGCCAAGAAGUAUCUUUCACACAAGCUUUGAGACAUUUAGCAACAUCACUUUGGAUAUCAAGCAAAAACCUUCUAUUCUUUGUCAUAGGUACCUUAGCAAUCACAUUUUUUCAGUCAUCUUAAAGUAAGAGACUACGAUUCUUCAUAUGAACCUCGUAGUUCUUUUCCAAAAGUUGUCCUAAACUCAAAAUAUUACUCUUCAUAUUUGGAACAUAAUAGACAUUACUUAUAAAUUGAUGACCACCAUUCUUCACACGAAUUAAAAUCGUACCUUUUCCUCUAAUUGGAACUUUAGAGUUGUCUCCAAAAAUGACAAAUCCGGUCACUGACUCAUCAAGCUCCACAAACUUAAACUUAUCUCCACACAUAUGAUUGCUUUCCCCAUUGUCAAGAUACCAUAAAUCAAUUUUUUUUUAAUUUCCCCUUUUUAAGCUAGCAAUAAAGCUACCUCUUCUUCCUCAUUCUCAACAUAGUUCACCUUCUCUUCAAUAUUACUAGGCAUACUCCUACAUUCUCGAGCAUAGCGCCCAUACUCUUAGCAAUUAUAACACCGAACUUUGGACUUAUCUUGCCUUGAAUAAUUUCCUCUUUCACGUCCCCUUGAGGAUUGACUUCUUUCUUCAUUGUUGGAGUUUUGGUUGCCUUGUCCGCCUCUUCCUCGAACUUGUCCACGUCCGUGUCCGCGUCCUCUUCCUCAUUGACUUUUCUCACGAUCAUAAUUCUUCUCUUUCACCGAGAGCUUGGUGGCUAGAACUUGCUCGAUCGACUCAUCCUUCUUCUUGUUAAUUCUUUAUUCAUGGGCUUGUAGAGAACCCAUGAGUUGAUCAACUGUCACAAUCUCUAAAUUUUUGGACUCCUCAAUGGCUACGAUGACAUAAUCAAACUUUUGGAAGCAACGAGCGAAGAAUCUUCUCAAUGACCCAAACUUCCUCCAUUUUUUUCUCUAUAUCGCUUCAUUUGAUUGAUUAUGGCCAACACCCUUGAAAAGAAAUCCGCAACAGAUUCGGAUUCUUGCAUUCGUAAACCUUCAAAUUCUUCUCGUAACAAUUGAAGGCGCACUUUCUUAACUUUAUCAACCCCUUGAUUGAAGUUUUGUAAUAUCUCCCAUGCUUGCUUGGCGGUGGUUGCAUUUGCAACUCUUUCAAACAUGACUUCAUCCAAACAUUGAUGAAUGAGAGUGAGAGCUUGUUGAUCCUUCUUUCGCAUCUUUUACAGAUUCUCCUUUUGAGCGAGAGUCAACGUAGCUUCCUCACUAGGCUCGUCAUAGCUUUUAUCCACGAUCUCCCACACAUCUUGGGAACUAAGCAAAGCCUUCAUACGAAUGCACCAAUUCUCAUAAUUUUCUUUUGUAAGGCGAGGGAAUUGAAAUGGAAAACUAGAAUUAACCAUUUCCAGGAUCACAAAAUAAAUUGCUCUGAUAUCAAUUUGUUGUAAUGAAGAGACUUGAAUUAUAAUUUUAAUUCACUUUUGCUCACUGCUCUCUUAUAAGACAAAUACUUACAUAAGGUAUUUAUAGGAUUAAUGAAUAAUGAUACAUGCAUAUCACCAAUACUUGCAUAUCACCAGUACAUGAACCACAUUAAAACUCCUUUAAUAUCCCAAUACGUGAAUCUAGAAUACUCCAAAACAUUAUAUCCUAAUACAUGAAUCUAGAAUACUCCAAAUUAACAUUGAAUUACAUUUAAUUCUCAACACUUAUAUAUAUUAAAAUAAUUUAACUCAUAAAUUAUUUUAAUAUCCUUUAAUUGUAUACACUAAAUUUGUAUAUCCAACUACUUGCUUACUUUCCAUACUCAAUUUAUUUUUAAACAAUAUAUUCAUACAUAGUAAAUAUAUAAUAUUAUAUUUACUUUAUCACAAACAUUCAUUCACAUUGCACAUAUACACAUGCAAAAUAAAUAAUAUCAAAAUAAAAAUUUAUUUAUUAAUUUUUUAUUUUAAUAUUAAUUAAAAUUUAAUUUAUUACAGUUUCUGCACACAACACAUACAUAAUAUAUAUAUAUAUAUAUAUAUAUAUAUAUAUAUAUAUAUAUAUAUAUAUAUAUAUUAGAGAAAGGAGAGAAAUUAGUACCUGUAAAAAAUAGAUGAAGAUACUUUAGAGGUGGUCGGUCAGAAAAUGCAAAAUGAAGAAAUAAAUGAAGGGGAUUUCUCCUUCUCUCUUUUUUCGACUAAACUCUAAAGCAUUUGGCUCUGCUACCAACAUAGUCGCCACUUCUCUAGUUCUCUUCAUACCCACCGUAAGCAACCAUGAACCAAUUAAUUCAAAAACAAAUUUGUUAAUUAAUUAAUGGCUUAAUUUAACACAAAACACUACAGAUGAUCCGGUAAAGAAAUAUAGUGAUGAAAUUGGGAACGUGGGGGAGCUGGAAGAGAUGGGGGCGGAUGUUCGGACAAAUUGCAGAGCAAGAGUUUAUUUUUUAGUUUGUACAGAGAUAAUUUAAUCUCACAUCACAAGUGGGCCAUAGUCCUUAUUAGGAGUGAGCAAAAAACGGAUAAAACCGAACUACCG